rnacentral:rRNA from 1 species
UUCCGGUUGAUCCUGCCGGAGGCCAUUGCUAUCAGGGUCCGAUUUAGCCAUGCUAGUCGCACGAGUUCACACUCGUGGCAUAUAGCUCCGUAACACGUGGCCAAACUACCCUUCGGAGACGCAUAACCUCGGGAAACUGAGGCUAAUUCGUCACACGGCUUUCAACCUGGAAUGAUGAAAGCCUCAAACGCUCCGGCGCCGAAGGAUGUGGCUGCGGCCGAUUAGGUAGACGGUGGGGUAACGGCCCACCGUGCCGAUAAUCGGUACGGGUUGUGAGAGCAAGAACCCGGAGACGGAAUCUGAGACAAGAUUCCGGGCCCUACGGGGCGCAGCAGGCGCGAAACCUUUACACUGCACGACAGUGCGAUAAGGGGACCCUGAGUGCACAGGCAUAGUGCCUGUGCUUUUCUCGACCGUAGGGAGGUCGAGGAACAAGAGCUGGGCAAGACCGGUGCCAGCCGCCGCGGUAAUACCGGCAGCUCGAGUGAUGGCCGAUCUUAUUGGGCCUAAAGCGUCCGUAGCUGGCCAGGCAAGUCCGUCGGGAAAUCCACGUGCUCAACAUGUGGGCGACCGGCGGAAACUGCCCGGCUUGGGACCGGAAGGCGCGACGGGUACGUCCAGGGUAGGAGUGAAAUCCCGUAAUCCUGAACGGACCGCCGAUGGGGAAACCACGUCGCGAAAACGGAUCCGACAGUGAGGGACGAAAGCUAGGGUCUCGAACCGGAUUAGAUACCCGGGUAGUCCUAGCCGUAAACGAUGCCUGUUAGGUGUGGCCCCCGCUACGAGCGGGUGCUGUGCCGUAGGGAAGCCGCUAAACAGGCCGCCUGGGAAGUACGUCCGCAAGGAUGAAACUUAAAGGAAUUGGCGGGGGAGCACUACAACCGGAGGAGCCUGCGGUUUAAUUGGACUCAACGCCGGACAUCUCACCAGCAUCGACUGUGGUAAUGACG